rnacentral:rRNA from 1 species
UACGUAGGGUGCGAGCGUUAAUCGGAAUUACUGGGCGUAAAGCGUGCGCAGGCGGUUUUGUAAGCCAGAUGUGAAAUUCCCGGGCUUAACCUGGGAAUGGCAUUUGGGACUGCAAGGCUGGAGUGCGGCAGAGGAGACUGGAAUUCCUGGUGUAGCAGUGAAAUGCGUAGAUAUCAGGAGGAAUACCGAUGGCGAAGGCAGGUCUCUGGGCUGACACUGACGCUCAUGCACGAAAGCGUGGGGAGCAAACAGG